rnacentral:rRNA from 1 species
AGUGAACGCUGCGGCGUGCCUAAUACAUGCAAGUCGAACGGAGAUUAAGUAGCUUGCUAUUUAAUCUUAGUGGCGCACGGGUGAGUAAUAUAUAGCUAAUCUGCCCUACACUAGAGGACAACAGUUGGAAACGACUGCUAAUACUCUAUACUCCUUCUAAGCAUAAGCUUAGUCGGGAAAGUUUUUCGGUGUAGGAUGAGGCUAUAUCGUAUCAGCUAGUUGGUGAGGUAAUGGCUCACCAAGGCUAUGACGCGUAACUGGUCUGAGAGGAUGAUCAGUCACACUGGAACUGAGACACGGUCCAGACUCCUACGGGAGGCAGCAGUAGGGAAUAUUGCUCAAUGGGGGAAACCCUGAAGCAGCAACGCCGCGUGGAGGAUGACACUUUUCGGAGCGUAAACUCCUUUUCUUGGGAAAGAAUUAUGACGGUACCCAAGGAAUAAGCACGG